rnacentral:rRNA from 1 species
GUGCCAGCAGCCGCGGUAAUACGGAGGAUCCGAGCGUUAUCCGGAAUCAUUGGGUUUAAAGGGUCCGUAGGCGGCCCUGUAAGUCAGCGGUGAAAUCUCCCGGCUCAACCGGGAAACUGCCGUUGAUACUGCAGGGCUUGAAUUGCCGGGAAGUAACUAGAAUAUGUAGUGUAGCGGUGAAAUGCUUAGAUAUUACAUGGAAUACCGAUUGCGAAGGCAGGUUACUACCGGCGUAUUGACGCUGAUGGACGAAAGCGUGGGGAGCGAACAGGAUUAGAUACCCUAGUAGUCC